rnacentral:rRNA from 1 species
AGUGAACGCUGGCGGUAGGCCUAACACAUGCAAGUCGAACGGCAGCACAGUAAGAGCUUGCUCUUACGGGUGGCGAGUGGCGGACGGGUGAGGAAUACAUCGGAAUCUACUUUUUCGUGGGGGAUAACGUAGGGAAACUUACGCUAAUACCGCAUACGACCUACGGGUGAAAGCAGGGGAUCUUCGGACCUUGCGCGAUUGAAUGAGCCGAUGUCGGAUUAGCUAGUUGGCGGGGUAAAGGCCCACCAAGGCGACGAUCCGUAGCUGGUCUGAGAGGAUGAUCAGCCACACUGGAACUGAGACACGGUCCAGACUCCUACGGGAGGCAGCAGUGGGGAAUAUUGGACAAUGGGCACAAGCCUGAUCCAGCCGUACCGCGUGGGUGAAGAAGGCCUUCGGGUUGUAAAGCCCUUUUGUUGGGAAAGAAAAGCAGCAGGUUAAUACCCCGCUGUUCUGACGGUACCCAAAGAAUAAGCACCGGCUAACUUCGUG